rnacentral:lncRNA from 13 species
AUGUCUGAACAACUGAGGCUGGAAAUGGAGAACAUGUCUUGGAGUUCCCUGCACAAGAUUCCUGUUUCCAGUCUCACUGUGUCUGGCUGUCCUUGGAGCACUCAUGCCCGUUGCAGUGAGCAGAAGGGAGCCCUGGUUGGGUGCUGUUCUGAGCAUACAGGGCCACUGGUGUCCCUACAGCAGUAUGGCAGAGCACUGCAUCAGCCUUGCUCACAGCUGGGAGGAGGACAGCCUCACCAGCAGCCUGAGCAGGAGUGAGGAGAAGGGAAGUUUUGUGCUCUUCACACUGCAGGCGAAACAUCUUUGCAUGAACUCUGCGAAAAGGUGAGUUUCAUUUUUAUCUGUUCAUUCUUGAAAGCAAGUUAAUUUUCCAUCAUUGAGCUAGGUCUCACCCCUGGAGAGGUGGUAAAACAGUUUUCUAUCUGAGAUGUUAAAGCAAAAAAACGAGGUGCUCCAAGGACUCAAGCAAAGCAACGUGUCCAAAAAAAAUUCACAACUUCAAGAUUAAUUUCCUUGGCAAAGUUCCUACUAGCAGGAACUUGGAAUAAAGAUUUUCCCAGAACCACUUUCUUGAGUUCCAAUUAGGCACAAGGAGAGCUGACUGUUCAAGUUGUAUUGAUGAGAGGAAAUUGUUAACAUAAACUGAGAAACUGUUGUUUGCAGCAAGGAAUCAGAGCAGUAGCCUGAAGAUAAGUUCCUGGAGUCAUUUUCAGAGAACUUAGUAGUACUGUAUAAGUUGACUAGAUACAAGAUAUUUGGAAGGACUAGUAAGUGACUUAAAUACUUAAUUUCCCCUGAGAACACAAGCCAAAAGUUACACCUGGCAUGAAAUUGCUAAACCACAUACCUUGAUGUGUGGGUGCUCCAUGUACACCCAUGUAGUUUUGUCUUUGUAUCUCAAACGUAUGUUAUUACUAUAUUUUCCAAACACUAAGCUACUUUUCUUGCUGCUGUUCAGAAUCUGACUUGGGAAACUUGAAAUGUGAGGGUUUGUUUAGUGAAGUGAAAUCCAUCAGGUGAGGAAUUAAUUUUUUUUUUCAAUAGGAUCAAAAAUUUUUGUUCAUUAUUGUAGCUUGUCCUUGUUAUGAGAACGUUUUUCUGGUUCUUGUCAGUCUCUGUAAAGGAACAAGAAAAGCAAUUCAGUGUGUGAUGCUUUCUUCUUUUGUGUGUUGCAUGGGGAGAGGAGCUGAAAAAUGGAGAAUUUAGAAGAAUGUAACAGCUUGUCCUGUCCUUUUCUGUUCAGAACACAUGCAGAUAUUUAUUAAUAAAAAUGUAAGGAGACUUAGUAAAGUAAGUAAAAAUGGCUACAUGUAGGCUCAUAAGACAUGACAGAGUCACUGUGAGCAUUAUGGGACUUUCUGAGCAGUCUGUUAGUCAGUACCCACUGUGACUUUUUCCACAUUAGCACUCUGUAUUCACACUGGCUCCAGAAGAGCAGAAUGUCUAACCACUUCUUCUUUCAAGUUUUCUUUAACCAAGAAGCCAGUAAAAGAUAGCCAAUCCUGUGUAUUUAACACCCACUCUUCCAUUUCUUCUUUGAGGAAACAAAAUUUUCUAUUGUCCUCAGCCCUAUCCUUCCUGCCUCCCCGUCUUACUGCUGCUAUGUUGUUAUUCCCCCAUAUCAGGCUGCUCCUGUGCAGGCACUUGUAAAGUCUUUCUGCUGUAUGAGUGAAGAGGCAGAAGAGCGCGGUUUCCAGCUUAUUUUACGCUCCAUGCUAAACAGCUGUAGGUAAGAUGAGAAGUAGAUGUAGAUAGCAUGGAAAGUACAUCCCCAAAGUUUUAAAGGACUUUACAGGGUCUAGGAAGUAUACUGUAAGAAAGUGUUGGGUUUAUAGGAUCAGACUAGCAUGUUGUUCUGUGAUAGCAGGGGUGAAAAUGUCUACAUCAUAGCAUUGUGAUUUGAAUAUCACAGUUUUAAAUGAAGAAAGAUUUGGUGGUUCCAAUAUCUCAUUAAAAAGCCUUGUGUCACUUGACAUCUUCGUUGAGAGGUAUUUAUUUCACUUUGUGGUUGGUGGACAAAAAUUGACUCCCUUUGUUCUGGAUCUGAGGACUGCAAGUAAUCUUACAGCAGUGGGAAAAGAGAGAAGCGGGAUAUGGGGAAAGGGAAGAGAAGGGAUGAAAGUGAAUCUCUGCAGAACUAGGUGUA